rnacentral:rRNA from 1 species
GACGAACGCUGGCGGCGUGCCUAAUACAUGCAAGUCGAGCGAAGUUUUUCUGGUGCUUGCACUAGAAAAACUUAGCGGCGAACGGGUGAGUAACACGUAAAGAACCUGCCUCAUAGACUGGGACAACUAUUGGAAACGAUAGCUAAUACCGGAUAACAGUAUUUCUCGCAUGAGAGAUAUUUAAAAGUUGGUUAUGCUAACACUAUGAGAUGGCUUUGCGGUGCAUUAGCUAGUUGGUGGGGUAAAGGCCCACCAAGGCGACGAUGCAUAGCCGACCUGAGAGGAUGAUCGGCCACACUGGGACUGAGACACGGCCCAGACUCCUACGGGAGGCAGCAGUAGGGAAUCUUCCGCAAUGGGCGAAAGCCUGACGGAGCAACGCCGCGUGAGUGAAGAAGGAUUUCGGUUCGUAAAGCUCUGUUGUUAGGGAAGAAUGGAUAUGUAGUAACUAUACAUGUAAGAGACGGUACCUAACCAGAAAGCCACGGCUAACUACGUG